CACUCCUACGGGAGGCAGCAGUGGGGAAUAUUGCACAAUGGGCGCAAGCCUGAUGCAGCGACGCCGCGUGGGGGAUGAAGGCCUUCGGGUUGUAAACUCCUUUCGCUAGGGACGAAGCUUUUUUGUGACGGUACCUAGAUAAGAAGCACCGGCUAACUACGUGCCAGCAGCCGCGGUAAUACGGAGGGUGCGAGCGUUGUCCGGAAUUACUGGGCGUAAAGGGCUCGUAGGUGGUUUGUCGCGUCGUCUGUGAAAUUCUGGGGCUUAACUCCGGGCGUGCAGGCGAUACGGGCAUAACUUGAGUGCUGUAGGGGUAACUGGAAUUCCUGGUGUAGCGGUGAAAUGCGCAGAUAUCAGGAGGAACACCGAUGGCGAAGGCAGGUUACUGGGCAGUUACUGACGCUGAGGAGCGAAAGCAUGGGUAGCGAACAGGAUUAGAAACCCUAGUAGUCC
rnacentral:rRNA from 1 species